AAAUGGAAGUGGGGUCAGUUGAAAGAAUGAAAUUAAAAGAAAUGAAGAAGCGAGAAAGAUCUGAAUUAAAAAAAGAUCGAAGACGAAGAGGAUAAAACAACCAGAAGAAGUUAAAAGAAAGGGAAAAGAAGUUAUGGAUCAAGAAGACAAGGAUCAUAGUAACGAGAUGGAAGAUACUGAAAAUAAUAUAGAAGAAAAAGAGCAAAAAGAAAGCAAGAAAGAGAUUGGGAACAACCAGAAAGCCAUGGAGAAAUCAUUUCAAAACCAACCUUGAAGGCAAGAGUUAAAAAAGACCUUGAAAGAUCAAGGAAGACUAAACAUGGUUCAAAAAAAGUUAUCAGUAUUGGAGAAAGAAUUGAGGUUUGUAAUAACCCUCUAUUAUAAGUAAUAUUUUUUGGAAAUAUUUUUUAGUUAAUUGUAUUGAGGGUGGU